rnacentral:misc_RNA from 1 species
GUAUUGUAUUGCGUUAAACGCGGCAUGCAUUCCAUGAGACUUUGUUACAUUGUGUGUGUGUGUAAAGAUGCAGAACCACAGCAGGAGGACAGGCCCCCUGACCAUAGAACCACAGAGAGUGCACAGGGUGUGAGUGGAUGUGUGAACAGAGCGUGCACAUGCCCCCGUUUGAGGACCAGCAACAACUCUUGUUGACAAUUCAGUAAUGAUCCUUCCGCAGGUUCACCUACGGAAA